CUUCUGCUCACGCGCAGUGGAAUGGUGGACUUUCUCCAGCAAGGUUUUCAUGGUUCAGAUCAGCUCUUCCUGACAUAACCCGGGUCUGCCUGAAUGGUCUGGAGGAUCUCUGCUCUGAAAGAAAACACAUUGAACUCAUGAUCCUGGUUACCCCGAGGGGAGGCAGAGGAAGGAAGAUUUGGUUGAAGGAGAAACAGUCAAAGUUCUUGCUCUGGAGAAGGAUGGCUGCCAUGUCAUGAGCUCUCUAAGAAGAAACCUCCUUGGCUAGGAUCUGAACUCUCCUUCUAACAGCUGCAUGAAUGAGCUUGGAGGGACAUCUAGCCUUCAGAUGACUGCAGCUUGACAUUAAACUCUCAAGAGGACUUCCAGCAAGAUAGCAACGGGACAGCCCAUAUUAUGAGGACCUUUUUUACAUCUGAAGAAAAUGAGGCAUGCAGAGAUCAAGUAACGUGCUCAAGGGCACGCAGCCAGCAAGCACAGAGCAAGGAUUCGAACCAGAUGAAGAAAGUUCUCAGAUGGGAACGUAUGCUGAUGUGGAUAAAGUGAAACACAAAACGGCAGAAGUACUAAAAGGCAUCCAAAUUGACGAGUCCAGAAACUGUUCUGAGCAGUGGAAAAAGCAUCUCAA